rnacentral:rRNA from 1 species
CCCUACGGGAGGCAGCAGUAGGGAAUCUUCCACAAUGGGCGAAAGCCUGAUGGAGCAACGCCGCGUGGGUGAAGAAGGUCUUCGGAUCGUAAAACCCUGUUGUUAGAGAAGAAGUGCGUGAGAGUAACUGUUCACGUUUCGACAGUAUCUAACCAGAAAGCCACGGCUAACUACGUGCCAGCAGCCGCGGUAAUACGUAGGUGGCAAGCGUUAUCCGGAUUUAUUGGGCGUAAAGGGAACGCAGGCGGUCUUUUAAGUCUGAUGUGAAAGCCUUCGGCUUAACCGGAGUAGUGCAUUGGAAACUG